AGCGACGCCGCGUGCGGGAAGAAGGCCUUCGGGUUGUAAACCGCUUUCAGGAGGGACGAAGCCACUCGGGUGAAUAGCCCAGAGGGUGACGGUACCUCCAGAAGAAGCCCCGGCUAACUACGUGCCAGCAGCCGCGGUAAUACGUAGGGGGCAAGCGUUGUCCGGAUUCAUUGGGCGUAAAGAGCGUGUAGGCGGCCAGGUAGGUCGGUUGUGAAAACUGGAGGCUCAACCUUCAGAGGUCGACCGAAACCAUCUGGCUAGAGUCCGGGAGAGGAGAGUGGAAUUCCUGGUGUAGCGGUGAAAUGCGCAGAUAUCAGGAAGAACACCCGUGGCGAAAGCGGCUCUCUGGAACGGUACUGACGCUGAGACGCGAAAGCGUGGGGAGCGAACAGGAUUAGAUACCCUGGUAGUCCACGCCGUAAACGAUGGGCGCUAGGUGUGGGAGGUGUCGACUCCUUCCGUGCCGAAGCUAACGCAUUAAGCGCCCCGCCUGGGGAGUACGGCCGCAAGGCUA
rnacentral:rRNA from 1 species